AGGUACAACAGAUGAGCAAAUAAUAACUACCUUUGUAUAUGGAUGUCACGGUGGAAGAACUGCUGUCAUCGGACAUCUAGGAAACAAGGAUGAAACUCUGGCUGAAUAUGAUUCUUUGGCAAAUCGUCUAUUGAGCCAAAUUGCACAACUCAUAGAAUCGAACAGUUUGACAAUAUCCGGGAUCAGAUUAUUAUCCAACGAAAAGAAACUCCUUUGGGAGCAACUUGUACCUAAACGAAAAGUCAGAGAAAAUCAGAGCAGUUCUACUGGUAAGAUAAACAUUGAUUUUUCCAUUACAUUAUGAAUGAAGGAUGGGCAUUACUUUGAUUACAUUGACUUAUUCUAUUUUAUUUUAUUGUAGGUUCCAAAGACAACGCCAGUAGUGAAGAUGACGGAACACAUCUAGUAGUCUGUGUACAUGGCAGAGCUGGUUCCGAAUAUGAUCUUGUAUUAGUAAGACCUUACAUCGAGUGUGGCGUGACACAUGGAAAGACCGACUUCCUAAUGUCUAUGUACAACAAGGGCUCCACCUCUGAAGAUAUUGAUUAUUUGGCCAGCGGUCUCCUAAUUGAAAUAUUAGAGCACAUAGGAAGCAAA